CCUACGGGAGGCAGCAGUGAGGAAUAUUGGUCAAUGGGCGCGAGUCUGAACCAGCCAAGUAGCGUGAAGGAUGACUGCCCUACGGGUUGUAAACUUCUUUUGUACAGGAAUAAAGUGAGGCACGUGUGCCUUUUUGUAUGUACUUUAUGAAUAAGGAUCGGCUAACUCCGUGCCAGCAGCCGCGGUAAUACGGAGGAUCCGAGCGUUAUCCGGAUUUAUUGGGUUUAAAGGGAGCGUAGGUGGGUUGUUAAGUCAGUUGUGAAAGUUUGCGGCUCAACCGUAAAAUUGCAACUGAUACUGGCAGCCUAGAGAACAGUUGAGGUAGGCGGAAUGUGUGGUGUAGCGGUGAAAUGCUUAGAUAUCACGAAGAACGCCGAUUGCGAAGGCAGCUUACUAAACUGUAACUGACAUUGAGGCUCGAAAGCGUGGGUAUCAAACAGGAUUAGAUACCCCUGUAGUC
rnacentral:rRNA from 1 species